AGCUCAGCUGGUAGAGCAUGGGACUCUUAAUCCCAGGGUCGUGUGGUUUAGAGCCCCAC
rnacentral:tRNA from 1 species